GGAUCCAGACUUUGAUUCUGGCUCAGAUUGAACGCUGGCGGCGUGCCUAACACAUGCAAGUCGAACGCGAAAGUUUCUUCGGAAAUGAGUAGAGUGGCGCACGGGUGAGUAACGCGUGGAUUAUCUACCUACUGGUACGGGACAACAGUUGGAAACGACUGCUAAUACCGUAUACGCUGGUAACGGGAAAGGGGGCCUCUUCUUGAAAGCUCUCGCCAGUAGAUGAGUCCGCGUUUCAUUAGCUAGACGGUGGGGUAACGGCCUACCGUGGCAACGAUGAAUAGCAGGCCUGAGAGGGUGGCCUGCCACACNGGGGACUGGAACACGGCCCAGACUCCUACGGGAGGCAGCAGUGGGGAAUAUUGCGCAAUGGACGAAAGUCUGACGCAGCGACGCCGCGUGGAGGAUGAAGGUUUUCGGAUCGUAAACUCCUGUCAGGAGGGAAGAAACCUAUUAUGAAUAAUACUCAUGGUAAUUGACGGUACCUCUAGAGGAAGCACCGGCUAAUUCAGUGCCAGC
rnacentral:rRNA from 1 species